rnacentral:sRNA from 1 species
ACCAGGCAUGAUCACUCAUGCCUAUAAUCCCAGCUACUUGGGAGGCUGAGGCAGGAGGACCACAAGUUCAAGGCCAGUCUGGGCAAUUUCUUAGAGAUACCCUGCCUCAU